rnacentral:rRNA from 1 species
GGAGAAUGGAAUUCCCGGUGUAGCGGUGAAAUGCGCAGAUAUCGGGAGGAACACCGGUGGCGAAGGCGGUUCUCUGGGCCUUACCUGACGCUGAGGAGCGAAAGCGUGGGGAGCGAACAGGAUUAGAUACCCUGGUAGUCCACGCCGUAAACGUUGGGCGCUAGGUGUGGGGUCCUUCCACGGAUUCCGUGCCGCAGCUAACGCAUUAAGCGCCCCGCCUGGGGAGUACGGCCGCAAGGCUAAAACUCAAAGGAAUUGA